rnacentral:lncRNA from 1 species
ACUCCCAGCAUUCCACCCAGUGUCAGAGUAGACACAGGCAAACAACCCUACAAGACAUCUCAGAAGUUCUGCUCUCAGACAUGGUGUCUGGGGAUGCUUGCCAUAGAAUACAAGCUAAGGACUUUCCCAAGGAGGACCUUCCCAAGUCUGCCCACCUCAUAGUCUUUUUGGUCUCACGAGCUGUGAUGACCUACUUUGUCUGGGAAAUUAACAGAUCAGGACCCAAGUGGACAAGAAAGUUGUGGAGGCUGAGGGCACCAUGGAAGCACCUCUGUGGUAGUUGCAGGCAUGUGUGCUGUGCAGCACUCUUCAACCUAAGAGCACCAAAACUUUCUCUGCCGAGUGUAUCAGCAACAAAUGCAAAGGCCACUUCCAUAAGAUCUGGUCACCCACAGUAUCACUCAUACUAAGGUAUGCCUGCUUCUUUUCUUUUUUUUUCCUCUCAUUAUGGAUGGUUGUGAGUCACCAUGUGGUUGCUGGGAUUUGAACUCAUGACCUCUGGAUGAGCCAUCUCACCAGCCAGUAUGCCUGCUUCUUGUCCACCAGAAGACCUGCCUUGGGGGGAGUAAGGUAAAGAGGGCACUCUAGCUGAAAAAACCUGGACCUGACCUGGAGAGGCGGCAGCCACAGAAUCUCCAGGAACAAGGUGUUCCCUAAGGAUGCGAUGGUUGACGGCAUCAGGCUGACCAGGAGCAAAGAGGUCACCAGCUACUGACACACCAAAGGUCAUGCAAAGUUACCUGUGUUGAAGGCUGACACACAGCCCUGGUAGCCUUCUCUAGCAUGAACUGAACAGAUAGGCUACCAUCACUGAGCUGCAAUCAGCAGCAAGGCCGACAAUAGAUUGGUCAGGGCUUCAAUUUCCAGCUCAGCGAGCUAGUCAAGAACAGUGCCCCCACCAACUAUGACCUAUCUGAUAGGAGCAUCAACCCUAUUAUGGCAAAGUGACAGAUGUCUCUGUCAUGCUGAAAGCUGUAUGGUGGGGACCAGGAAGUACUUGUGUACCCUACGUAAGUCCUUAAUGGUGCAGACCCAAUAAAUAGCAGGCUCUGUAGAAGAUCCAUCCCAAGUUCAUCAACACUAAGUUGGGCUGUGGCCACUUCUAACAUAUAGAGAAGAUAUCAGUCAUGGAAUAUGUACAAGAGACAGGACUGAAUGGGCUGAAGAUAUGGCUUGGUGGGUAAGCAUUUGCCAUAUAAGUGUGAAGACUGGGCUUGAACCCCUCCAGCCCAUACUAAGCUGGGUGAACUCAGUAGCAAGUGUCUGUAACACUAGUGUUUCUACAGAGAGAUGGACACAGGAGACUCUCUGGAGGCUCACGGCCAGCUAGCCUGUCAUGCCCAGUGGCGAACAGCAGAGGCCCUGUGUCAAGCAGGUGGAAGGUUAAAAUCAAUGCCUGAGGUUGUUCCCUACCUCCAUACACACCGUGAAAAAUGCAUGCACACAUUCACAUACACAAAUGUUCAGGCACACACAUACAAGAUGAUUUUCAAAGAGGGAGGGAGAGCGCAGGGAAGCAAAUACUUAAUGUCAGCAUGUUACAUGGGUGGUAGAAACUCCGUUUUCAUUCCUCCCAUCAAGGGACAUAAAAGAACACCCAACUUUAUUCAGACAUAAUUAAACAUGUCAUAUGACUCACCUUAGAAAAUAUGCAACAGUGGUUCUAAACGAUUUCCUCCUAACCUGACAAGAUUCUAAAAAUGUCUGUACAGUGUAGACAGUUUAAAAUAGGUUGGUUCCCACUGAGGCUAAAACCAUGUGUGGCAAAGUGUUCCCAGGGCAGGGAGAAUGGGAAGCCAUCUAAGGGGGCACGGGCAGGAGUCACUAAAUAAAGUCCACAGGGAGCGGGGAAAUCCCUGAAAGUGGAGCUUGCAUACAGCUGCAGCAGUCACAGUAGACACAUUUCAAACACUGAUCAGUGGUCGGGCUGGAGAGACGAUUCAGAACUUGACACUAUUGCAGAGAACUCAGGUUCAAAUCCUAGCAUCCACACGGAGACUCCCACUGGUGCUUUGGUUCCAGGAGAUCUAAUGCCUUCUUUUUCUACUGGUACUGCACACAUGUGGUCCACAUAAAUGCAUGCGGGCAAACCACUCAUACAAAUAACACAUAUAGUUUUAAAGAAUGAUUUUUUUUUAAAGUUGACCAGUUGGGGGAAGC